AAGAGAAAUAGCCAAGCUGCCAAAGAAGGCUGUGCAUGCAAACAAAACUGAAACACACAAGAAAGAAAAGCCAAUAGAAAUAGCCCAGCUGCCAAAGAAGGAAA